CUCAGAGCUACACACAGCUUUUUUUGUUGAAAAAACAGUUUGGAUAAGGAAAGACAGAGACUCCAUUUGAAGAUUAUUGCAACAGUCUAUCAGUGGAGUGAAAUUUGGAAUGGAAAAGCCCAAUGAAAUAUACUGAUUAAUAUUUAUGUAUUUAUCUGUGAAAACCCCUUUUACUUUCGGUAAAUUCUGAAGAGGCAUUGAAACAAUUUUUAAUAGUACAAAUACGUGGCAUUA
rnacentral:lncRNA from 1 species